AGAUGUGAGGGAAAUGUGGCUGAAACAUCUGUCACCCCAUUGAUCGACAGGAUUGAUUCAGCUGAUCUGGCUGCUGGGCGGGUGUCCUCCCUUACCGCUCCAUGUGUGUCCCUCCCAAAGCUGCGUGCUCAAAGAGGACAACCUUCCCAAUAGAGGAGGACUGUUCUUUGGUCAAGGGUAUACGAAUAGCUGUGCUUCCCUGCUAGAGCCUUCAAACAAGCUCUCAAGGUCCAUUUGCAGGAGAAUGUAGGGUAGUCAAGCUUCCAAGACUCCAGACACAUCCAAAUGAGGCGCUGCAUGUGGUAGUCUGCCUUUCUUU
rnacentral:snRNA from 1 species